UACGAAGGGGGCUAGCGUUGUUCGGAAUCACUGGGCGUAAAGGGCUCGUAGGCGGCCAACUAAGUCGGAUGUGAAAUCCCCAGGCUUAACCUGGGAACUGCAUCCGAUACUGGAUGGCUUGAAUCCGGGAGAGGGAUGCAGAAUUCCAGGUGUAGCGGUGAAAUGCGUAGAGAUGUGGAGGAACACCGAUGGCGAAGGCAGCCUCCUGGGCCAGCACUGACGCUCAUGCACGAAAGCGUGGGGAGCAAACAGG
rnacentral:rRNA from 1 species